AUUGAACGCUGGCGGCAGGCCUAACACAUGCAAGUCGAACGAGUGGCGGACGGGUGAGUAAUGUCUGGGAAACUGCCCGAUGGAGGGGGAUAACCACUGGAAACGGUAGCUAAUACCGCAUACUAUCGUAUGUGCCCAGAUGGGAUUCGCUAGUAGGUGGGGUAACGGCUCACCUAGGCGACUAUCCCGAGCUGGUCUGAGAGGAUGACCAGCCACACUGGAACUGAGACACGGUCCAGACUCCUACGGGAGGCAGCAGUGGGGAAUAUUGCACAAUGGGCGCAAGCCUGAUGCAGCCAUGCCGCGUGUAUGAAGAAGGCCUUCGGGUUGUAAAGUACUUUCAGCGAGGAGGCGUUACUCGCAGAAGAAGCACCGGCUAACUCCGUGCCAGCAGCCGCGGUAAUUC
rnacentral:rRNA from 1 species